GAGUUUGAUCUUGGCUCAGAUUGAACGCUGGCGGCAUGCCUUACACAUGCAAGUCGAACGGUAACAGGUCUUUCGGGAUGCUGACGAGUGGCGAACGGGUGAGUAAUACAUCGGAACGUGCCUAGUAGUGGGGGAUAACUACUCGAAAGAGUGGCUAAUACCGCAUGAGAUCUAUGGAUGAAAGCAGGGGACCUUCGGGCCUUGUGCCACUAGAGCGGCCGAUGGCAGAUUAGGUAGUUGGUGGGAUAAAAGCUUACCAAGCCUACGAUCUGUAGCUGGUCUGAGAGGACGAUCAGCCACACUGGGACUGAGACACGGCCCAGACUCCUACGGGAGGCAGCAGUGGGGAAUUUUGGACAAUGGGCGCAAGCCUGAUCCAGCAAUGCCGCGUGC
rnacentral:rRNA from 1 species